rnacentral:lncRNA from 1 species
GUCCAAGUCUCGUGGGGAGCCACCGACGCACACGAGCCGAUGGAGGCGGCACUCGGGGGCGCGACGAAGCCAUGGGUCCGCAGCCACCUUCCGCACACGGACGCCGCCAACGCGCACGAGCUGGUGGAGGCGACCAAGAGCGGCGGCGGGCGCUGGCAAGAUCCGGAUCGGGUGGGGGUAAGAUUCGUAGGAUAGGAGGAGCGAGGAGGGCUCUGUUGUUGUUUUUUUUUCUUUUUUGGGCGGUACGUGUUUUUUCUGCGCUUGAGGACCACGGGACCCGGGAUUAAAAGGCGCGUGGGGACAGCGGUGUUAGAUUUGUAAUUUCAGUGAAGUGGCGUACCGCGACGACCGUACCAUCACCACCAACUCCAAUUUAAUAUAUUGGUAUAGAUAUAUUACUUUGUAUUUAAAAAAAAAUCCAAAAAUAAGAUAUUCCUGCUCAAAAUAAUAAUACAAAUCCACGUCACUUAUUUCGGGACGGAGGGAGUACUUUAUUGAAGUAACGAAAGAUACA